GGCGCUGACCGACAACUUCCAGAAUCCAGACAUAUGGGCCCUGUGGGGUCACUUGCAUUACGAGAAGGGCGAUUACGCUCAGGCUCAGAGCUGCUAUGAACGGACGCUGGAUUCUGUGCUGGACACCUCAGACACACACUCCAUCUACCUUUGCUUGGGCUCCAUCUAUCUGCAGAAAGGAGAAUAUGAAAAAGCCAAACCUGUAUUCCUGCGUGCCUGCAAACGCUCGCCGUCAUGUCUUACUUGGCUCAGACUGGGAAUCGCCUGCUAU